rnacentral:rRNA from 1 species
UACGUAGGGAGCAAGCGUUGUCCGGAAUCAUUGGGCGUAAAGCGCGCGUAGGUGGCUUCGUAAGUCCGUUGUGAAAGUCAAAGGCUCAACCUUUGAAAGCCGAUGGAUACUGUGAAGCUAGAGUACGGAAGAGGCGAGUGGAAUUCCUGGUGUAGCGGUGAAAUGCGCAGAUAUCAGGAGGAACACCUAUUGCGAAGGCAGCUCGCUGGGACGUUACUGACGCUGAGACGCGAAAGCGUGGGGAGCAAACAGG